UUGGAGGGCAAGGUCUGGUGCCAGCAGCCGCGGUAAUUCCAGCUCCAAUAGCGUAUAUUAAAGUUGUUGUGGUUAAAAAAGCUCGUAGUUGAACCUUGGGCCUGGCCGGCCGGUCCGCCUCACCGCGUGCACUGGUCCGGCCGGGCCUUUCCCUCUGCGGAACCCCAUGCCCUUCACUGGGUGUGGCGGGGAAACAGGACUUUACUUUGAAAAAUUAGAGUGCUCAAGGCAGGCCUAUGCUCGAAUACAUUAGCAUGGAAUAAUAGAAUAGGACGUGUGG
rnacentral:rRNA from 1 species